rnacentral:rRNA from 1 species
UACGUAGGGUGCGAGCGUUGUCCGGAAUUAUUGGGCGUAAAGAGCUCGUAGGCGGUGUGUCACGUCGGCCGUGAAAACCUGCAGCUUAACUGUGGGCGUGCGGUCGAUACGGGCAUCACUGGAGUUCGGCAGGGGAGACUGGAAUUCCUGGUGUAGCGGUGAAAUGCGCAGAUAUCAGGAGGAACACCGGUGGCGAAGGCGGGUCUCUGGGCCGAUACUGACGCUGGAGGAGCGAAAGCCGUGGGGAGCAAACGGG